rnacentral:rRNA from 1 species
UGCAUUCAGUGCCAUCGGUGAGGCCGGGCACUCUGGAUGGACUGCCGGCGACAAGCCGGAGGAAGGUGGGGACGACGUCAAGUCAUCAUGGCCCUUAUGUCCAGGGCGACACACGUGCUACAAUGGCCGGCACAGCGGGAAGCGAAGGGGCGACUCUGAGCGGAUCCCUUAAAGCCGGUCCCAGUUCGGAUUGCAGUCUGCAACUCGACUGCAUGAAGUUGGAAUCGCUAGUAAUCGUGGAUCAGCCAAGCCGCGGUGAAUACGUUCCCGGGCCUU